rnacentral:rRNA from 1 species
UACGUAGGGUGCAAGCGUUAAUCGGAAUUACUGGGCGUAAAGCGUGCGCAGGCGGUUUUGUAAGACAGGCGUGAAAUCCCGGGCGUCAACCUGGGAAGUGCGCUUGUGACUGCAAAGCUGGAGUGCGGCAGAGGGGAGUGAAUUCCACGUGUAGCAGUGAAAUGCGUAGAGAUGUGGAGGAACACCGAUGGCGAAGGCAGCCCCUCGGGAUAACACUGACGCUCAUGCACGAAAGCGUGGGGAGCAAACAGGAUUAG